UUCACCCUAGUAACCCUUGACUUGGACGGGGUGUUUGUUAUUCUAAUGAGGAGCCCCAACCCCCUCCCUAUAUCCGUGCAGGUAUAACCCCUUCGGAGUCAUCUGCAUGCAGCAUCUGCUUUCAGUCCGGCGCGAGACGGCGGACGACACGGCCGCAGAUAUGAAACGAGAAGAAAUGAUCAAUUGGGAAGACAUCCCAACAACCAUCAGUGUUGAUGAUGAUAUGGAGUGUGAUAUAACAUUGUCUUCAUAAGUGCCUGCUUAAGUUAAAGGAUUGCUUUUUUCAAAGAACCGAGUUCAAGAAAUCCGACGAGGUUGCAUUUCAAGUACUCCACAUGGCUUUAAAAUAAAAGUAACUCACCUCAAGACGUCUCGGGAGCUGUUGAUUUUCCCAGGAUGUCUUCCACACCCCUUGCUGGCCAAUGGAGGAGUGAUGCCAGGAGCAAGAGGCACCGGGGGUGGCGGCGCUGGAAACGCAGGCCCGGGGGUGGCGGCCCAGGGGUGGUGGGGGCGGCCGGCUCCACCCCACUACGGGCUGCAAUUUUUAAAUAAUAACGUUCCUCGUACAAUACGAACCUUGGACGAUUUGACCGAGUGACCUUGGCCGCCAGGACACAUCGAGCAACCCGGCAUAAUAUGAAAGGCAUUUCCCUUAGGAUGAGACCCGUUGAAGGAUGGCCCGGCGUGUUUGGGGGUUAUGAGACCGUAUAUUUUGCCACUUAUGCAAAGUAACCCUAUUAAGUGUGAUUUAUGAUUUCAGGAGAAUGCGAUGCCGAGGGGCGGCGGAUGUGCGACAAGAGCAGAAGCGAGGAUGAGCGGCGUCAACAAAACAAAAAUAACCAUCUCUC